rnacentral:rRNA from 1 species
GAAAAAAGCUUGUAGAGUUGAGCAAUCAAUUUUGCAGGUGAUGCAUUUUUAGAUUAAGCCAAUCAAUGUUUGGAGCAGUUAUCGCUGUUUCAACGUUGCUGUGGUGAGUCUGGAUAACUGUGCCGAUCGUAUGGCCUAGAGCCGGCGACAUUUCGAUUAAAUUUCUGCCCUAUCAACUUGUUGGUAAGGUAGUGGCUUACCAAGGCGAUUACGGGUAACGGGGAAUCAGGGUUCGAUCCCGGAGAGGGAGCCUGAGAAAUGGCUACCACAUCCAAGGACGGCAGCAGGCGCGCAAAUUACCCAAUCCAGACACUGGGAGGUGGUGACGAGAAAUACCAGGUCGGUCCCAAAAGGAUUCGACACUGGAAUGAGUUCAAUUUAAGAAUUUGAAUGAGUAGCAACUGGAGGGCAAGUCUGGUGCCAGCAGCCGCGGUAAUUCCAGCUCCAGUAGUGUAUCCAAACGUUGCUGCGGUUAAAACGCUCGUAGUUGGACAAUAGAGUAAUUUAGUGCGGGCGGGAAAUGUAAUUGCUCCAUGUAACUGACUAUUAUGAAUAGUAUAAAGUGGAAAGAAUGAGAUGGGAGGUAAAGAUAAGAUGGCUAUGAUGCAAGUUGUGGUUGUUUUGUUUUUAUUACUCGUUUUGUUUUUUCAUUUCUUUUGCUUGUUUAUGAUAGUAAAUAGUGCAUGGUAGUAGCAUUUGUCGACCAUGCAGCUAAGUUACUUGUAAUGUUUCGUGAGAAUAGUACAUGAUCUUAAUUGUAUUGUGUACCAUGUCUUACGUAGUGUGCCUUGAAUAAAUCAGAGUGCUCAAAGCAAGCUAAUUGCUUGAAUGUUAAUAGCAUGGAACGAAUGUUUAGUGGAAGUGUAUUAAUGUGUAAUUAUGAGUAUUAUGUACUUGUAAGAGCGUGUUAAUACACAGCACCAACCACGAAGCGGAACAUUGGUUACCGACUUCGGGUGAGGAUUAAGAGGGGCAUUUGGGGGCAUUAGUAUU